AGGGGAGUGAAAAAGAACCUGAAACCGUGUACGUACAAGCAGUGGGAGCACGCUUAGGCGUGUGACUGCGUACCUUUUGUAUAAUGGGUCAGCGACUUAUAUUCUGUAGCAAGGUUAACCGAAUAGGGGAGCCGAAGGGAAACCGAGUCUUAACUGGGCGUUAAGUUGCAGGGUAUAGACCCGAAACCCGGUGAUCUAGCCAUGGGCAGGUUGAAGGUUGGGUAACACUAACUGGAGGACCGAACCGACUAAUGUUGAAAAAUUAGCGGAUGACUUGUGGCUGGGGGUGAAAGGCCAAUCAAACCGGGAGAUAGCUGGUUCUCCCCGAAAGCUAUUUAGGUAGCGCCUCGUGAAUUCAUCUCCGGGGGUAGAGCACUGUUUCGGCAAGGGGGUCAUCCCGACUUACCAACCCGAUGCAAACUGCGAAUACCGGAGAAUGUUAUCACGGGAGACACACGGCGGGUGCUAACGUCCGUCGUGAAGAGGGAAACAACCCAGACCGCCAGCUAAGGUCCCAAAGUCAUGGUUAAGUGGGAAACGAUGUGGGAAGGCCCAGACAGCCAGGAUGUUGGCUUAGAAGCAGCCAUCAUUUAAAGAAAGCGUAAUAGCUCACUGGUCGAGUCGGCCUGCGCGGAAGAUGUAACGGGGCUAAACCAUGCACCGAAGCUGCGGCAGCGACGCUGAUGCGUUGUUGGGUAGGGGAGCGUUCUGUAAGCCUGUGAAGGUGUGCUGUGAGGCAUGCUGGAGGUAUCAGAAGUGCGAAUGCUGACAUAAGUAACGAUAAAGCGGGUGAAAAGCCCGCUCGCCGGAAGACCAAGGGUUCCUGUCCAACGUUAAUCGGGGCAGGGUGAGUCGACCCCUAAGGCGAGGCCGAAAGGCGUAGUCGAUGGGAAACAGGUUAAUAUUCCUGUACUUGGUGUUACUGCGAAGGGGGGACGGAGAAGGCUAUGUUGGCCGGGCGACGGUUGUCCCGGUUUAAGCGUGUAGGCUGGUUUUCCAGGCAAAUCCGGAAAAUCAAGGCUGAGGCGUGAUGACGAGGCACUACGGUGCUGAAGCAACAAAUGCCCUGCUUCCAGGAAAAGCCUCUAAGCAUCAGGUAACAUCAAAUCGUACCCCAAACCGACACAGGUGGUCAGGUAGAGAAUACCAAGGCGCUUGAGAGAACUCGGGUGAAGGAACUAGGCAAAAUGGUGCCGUAACUUCGGGAGAAGGCACGCUGAUAUGUAGGUGAAGUCCCUCGCGGAUGGAGCUGAAAUCAGUCGAAGAUACCAGCUGGCUGCAACUGUUUAUUAAAAACACAGCACUGUGCAAACACGAAAGUGGACGUAUACGGUGUGACGCCUGCCCGGUGCCGGAAGGUUAAUUGAUGGGGUCAGCGCAAGCGAAGCUCUUGAUCGAAGCCCCGGUAAACGGCGGCCGUAACUAUAACGGUCCUAAGGUAGCGAAAUUCCUUGUCGGGUAAGUUCCGACCUGCACGAAUGGCGUAAUGAUGGCCAGGCUGUCUCCACCCGAGACUCAGUGAAAUUGAACUCGCUGUGAAGAUGCAGUGUACCCGCGGCAAGACGGAAAGACCCCGUGAACCUUUACUAUAGCUUGACACUGAACAUUGAGCCUUGAUGUGUAGGAUAGGUGGGAGGCUUUGAAGUGUGGACGCCAGUCUGCAUGGAGCCGGCCUUGAAAUACCACCCUUUAAUGUUUGAUGUUCUAACGUUGACCCGUUAUCCGGGUUGCGGACAGUGUCUGGUGGGUAGUUUGACUGGGGCGGUCUCCUCCUAAAGAGUAACGGAGGAGCACGAAGGUUGGCUAAUCCUGGUCGGACAUCAGGAGGUUAGUGCAAUGGCAUAAGCCAGCUUGACUGCGAGCGUGACGGCGCGAGCAGGUGCGAAAGCAGGUCAUAGUGAUCCGGUGGUUCUGAAUGGAAGGGCCAUCGCUCAACGGAUAAAAGGUACUCCGGGGAUAACAGGCUGAUACCGCCCAAGAGUUCAUAUCGACGGCGGUGUUUGGCACCUCGAUGUCGGCUCAUCACAUCCUGGGGCUGAAGUAGGUCCCAAGGGUAUGGCUGUUCGCCAUUUAAAGUGGUACGCGAGCUGGGUUUAGAACGUCGUGAGACAGUUCGGUCCCUAUCUGCCGUGGGCGCUGGAGAACUGAGGGGGGCUGCUCCUAGUACGAGAGGACCGGAGUGGACGCAUCACUGGUGUUCGGGUUGUCAUGCCAAUGGCACUGCCCGGUAGCUAAAUGCGGAAGAGAUAAGUGCUGAAAGCAUCUAAGCACGAAACUUGCCCCGAGAUGAGUUCUCCCUGACUCCUUGAGAGUCCUGAAGGAACGUUGAAGACGACGACGUUGAUAGGCCGGGUGUGUAAGCGCAGCGAUGCGUUGAGCUAACCGGUACUAAUGAACCGUGAGG
rnacentral:rRNA from 1 species